GCCUGGGUGGCUCAGUCGGUUAAGCAUCUGACUUCAGCUCAGGUCAUGAUCUCACUGUUUGUGGGUUUGAGCCCUGCAUUGGGCU
rnacentral:tRNA from 1 species